rnacentral:rRNA from 1 species
UUACGGGAGGCAGCAGUGAGGAAUUUUCCGCAAUGGACGCAAGUCUGACGGAGCAACGCCGCGUGCAGGAGGACGCUUUUCGGAGUGUAAACUGCUUUUCUGUGGGACGAGCGAGGACGGUACCACAGGAAGAAGCCCCGGCUAACUACGUGCCAGCAGCCGCGGUAAUACGUAGGGGGCGAGCGUUGUCCGGAGUUACUGGGCGUAAAGGGCAUGCAGGCGGUCUGGCGCGUUUUGUGUGACAGCGGGUGGCUCAACUACCCGAGCAUGCGAAAGACGGUUGGACUUGAGGGCUCGAGAGGGACACGGAAUUCCGGGUGGAGUGGUGAAAUGCGUAGAGAUCCGGAGGAACACCGAAGGCGAAGGCAGUGUCCUGGCGAGCGACUGACGCUGAGGUGCGAAAGCCAGGGGAGCGAACGGGAUUAGAUACCCCGGUAGU